rnacentral:rRNA from 1 species
UACGUAGGGUGCAAGCGUUGUCCGGAAUUAUUGGGCGUAAAGGGUUCGUAGGCGGUUUGUCGCGUCGGGAGUGAAAUCCACUGGCUUAACUGGUGGCUUGCUUUCGAUACGGGCAGACUGGAGGUAUGCAGGGGAGAACGGAAUUCCUGGUGUAGCGGUGAAAUGCGCAGAUAUCAGGAGGAACACCGGUGGCGAAGGCGGUUCUCUGGGCAUGUCCUGACGCUGAGGAGCGAAAGUGUGGGGAGCGAACAGG